AAUAGAUACCCGGGUAGUCCACGCCGUAAACGAUGAGUGCUAAGUGUUAGAGGGUUUCCGCCCUUUAGUGCUGAAGUUAACGCAUUAAGCACUCCGCCUGGGGAGUACGGCCGCAAGGCUGAAACUCAAAGGAAUUGACGGGGGCCCGCACAAGCGGUGGAGCAUGUGGUUUAAUUCGAAGCAACGCGAAGAACCUUACCAGGUCUUGACAUCCUCUGACAACCCUAGAGAUAGGGCUUCUCCUUCGGGAGCAGAGUGACAGGUGGUGCAUGGUUGUCGUCAGCUCGUGUCGUGAGAUGUUGGGUUAAGUCCCGCAACGAGCGCAACCCUUGAUCUUAGUUGCCAUCAUUUAGUUGGGCACUCUAAGGUGACUGCCGGUGACAAACCGGAGGAAGGUGGGGAUGACGUCAAAUCAUCAUGCCCCUUAUGACCUGGGCUACACACGUGCUACAAUGGACGGUACAAAGAGCUGCAAGACCGCGAGGUGGAGCUAAUCUCAUAAAACCGUUCUCAGUUCAGA
rnacentral:rRNA from 1 species